ACCAGGUAUCUGUGCUAGUCCGAUAAGCCUGAUGAAACAGUUCCCCAUAUGGACUCAUCUGGGUACCUGUGGAAAUAUAAUCACAGUCAGAGAGCAAUCCUAGAGAUGGACACCCAUAUUAACUAAAGGAGGAGAAUUCACAAGAGGCAUGGGCAGAAACCAGGUGAAUCUUUAAGUUUGGCUACUUCAUUUCAGAGAAAAGAGGAAGGGCAUGUAAUGGUCAGUAAGGAAGAAUGGAAAUAACUGGGCUGUCUUAUAGCUCACCCCUCUUACAGUCUAUUAUGCAAAUCUUAGACCCAUUUGAAGAUGACAAUAAAAGAGCUGAGGCUUUUGUUAAUUUGUUUGCUUUGCUUUGUUUUGUUUUUUUGUAAUGGCUCCUGGAUGCCAUAAGGGAGCUUUGAUCCUCUGAGGAAGAAUUUCCUGAAGAAGAAGAAGAAGGAGAAGGAGAAGGAGAAGAAGGAGAGGGAGAAGGAGAAGGAGAAGAAGAAGAAAGAAGAAGAAGAAAAAAAAAACCUCUUAUGGAAAACCACAGAUUAGGCAUUGUUAGAAUGGAGUCUCCUGCUGCUCCAGAUCAUUUACAAUGCUGACAAAGGUGACCUACUGGAGAAUGAGAAACUGACCCCCAGAAUAUAGAUAAAUUCUUGUGAAACAAACAUAGAUAAAUUCUUGUAAUCAAGUGCAGCACUUCUUGAAGCCACAAAUGCACCUUGCUUAUUUAGCAUGCAGUCCUUCUUUCCAUCUAUCCCCACUGCCCUCUGCUCUCCCUCUAUGCCAACCUCAGCUGCUUUCAAGAGAAAGCUUUUUUAAGAGUAGAAUGUAGUUCUUCUUGGAGACCAGAAGAACUAAAUGCCAUAUAUCCAAGUAAAUUGGGGAACUUUGGGGAGGAGAGAAUCACAAAAUUUAUGGCUCUAUUGGACACAGUCACCCAAGUCACCAUCAGAGUUGGUCCCAUGGGACGAGGUGGGUACCCAAGUUUAACAUAUGGCUUUUAGGCAGUGUUUAUAGUGGGGAAGGAAAACUAAGUGACCUUGUGGGUGGGAUCCAUUGAGCCAAUUCAAUGUGCUGUUGUUAUGGCUCCUACUACUGAGUUUCUAAUUAAUUGUAUUGAUGUUUUGCACACUGGUAGUAUAUGAAUGCUCAUAAGUGCCAAAGGGAAUCCCCUAAUUGGAAAAAGCAUCUUGUACAUAUAAGCGAUAUGAGUAUUUUGAGGCCACACAACCCUGAUAUCCCAUUUGAGCUAUACAUGUUAGUGCUAAUGACUUUGCCAUCAGAGCCUCUGACAAUGAAAAACAGCCUUCAUACCAUGGCAUCUCUUGGGGUUUUGCAGUCAUGUCUUCCCUGACAUGGUGACCAGGAAAACCCCUUUUAUAAAGCAGCUAUUGGCUUUUCAUUGGAGCUCUUACUGAAACUGAAUGUGAACCAUGGAGGUGUGUGACUGUCUACAUUGAUAUAUUCCCAUUUUGAGGUGAGUCAGCCCUAACUGGUAGAAAGGGCCAUCAAGCCUCUCUCAUUAAAUGGAAAUUGCAUAAUGUAAGAAUGCAGUAGGCUAGAUCUCAGCAGCAUUGCAGCUUUAUAUGAAAAAAUAGCAGUUUAAAUUUAGGGGGAACCUUUAUCCCCACCCUACUCACUGCCUUUGAAAGCAAAACUGGCUGGAUGGAAUUUUUGAUUCACAGAGUUUCUCCUAAGUUCCUGGGUCUGGAUCCCUGAUGUUUUGACAGAGUUAAAAUUUGACGGUGUCCCAAACUGAACUAUUCAGUGUUAGCACCAGCUAUGCUGAACUGAAAAUGGAGAGGUGAUCUUAUCUCAGUGGGCAGAACUCAAUGAGGUGGUAACAGCCCUGGUCAGUCUUAUACUUGAUGAAUCCUGUUACAAUUCUUCCAGCUUUUGGACUUUUGCCAAUGGCCUAGAUGUUUGGUUUGCCACACAAAUCAUGGUUGCUGAUUAAACUGCCUGGAUCAUACUUGUAGAUCUUCAAGGUAAGGGCCUACUCCCUGAUGAGUCCAAUUAAAAUCUAGCCGGUGUAUGCGACCAUUGCCCAGACUGCCAACCUUACUGCUUAAAUCCAUUCCCUCACCGGAUGUAGCAAUGCACCCUCCAUCAUAGACUGGGUACAGCUUGGAGGACUCUGUUUCUAAAGUUGGGCAAUUUUAAUCAACAAACAAAAGAAACCUCAAUUAUGUAUUCUGAGCAGCAGAGGAGAAUUUCUUUCUAAAAAUUUAGUGAGAGAGGAUCAUUUUUUCCUGCCAAAAGCAAGGAAGUCUAUAAACUCCUGGUAUUUCACCUAUGAAAGUAAUUUUGCAGAGAUUUUGCAGAUCGUAGGCAAUGCAAUUUGACUCCUUGCUCUGCCAUUUACUAGCUCUAUUACUUUAAGCAAAUCAAAAACUCCUAGAGAUUCAGUGUUAUUUUUUAAAAAGAGAGAAAUGGGGUAGUUUUAAAUAUCAAAGAAACGACACCUGUGAAAGUGCUUUCUAACUACAAAGCACUCUAUAAAUAUUAGUUAUUUUUCUAGUAUUUCUGUACAUUGGAGCUUGUGGAAAUAGAAACUAAGCACAUAAAUAUAGCCGACUGUCUAUACAUUAAAGCUAAACAAAAAUUACAGAAAACAGACUAUGAUUUUAAAGCAUUUGGCACAUUAGCUCUAAUACAAUACAAUAACCAAUACACUUUGACUAAGCCAGGAAUGGGAACUUGAAGUACACUAGAGCCUGAAAGAAAGGAAGAUUAAAGAAGAAGAAAACAGAAACCAGAAGGACAAAGAACUAUACUUUACACCAAGACCACACAGCAGUUAUCUAUAUAGUACAUUAUUUGUAAUUUUUAUACUGGCACUUAACAUUUAAUAAAAUAUAUAUGGUUUAUCAAAUAA